UUUUGUAUUGAAUGAUUGUCAUUAUCAUUUAUUUAUUUAUUUACUUUGUUGAAUGAUAUAUGAUUAAGUCUUUUCAUUUUCUUUGCCAUUUGAUUAUAACUUAUAGUGUAAUUAAAAUUUGUAUUGAAUGAUUGUCAUAAACAUUUAUAUAUUUAUUUUAAAAAAAACAAAUUAAAGCCUUAAAUAUUUUUCCACCAAUAAGGAGAGAGUGAAACCUUACUUUUAUAUAUAUGAUU
rnacentral:lncRNA from 1 species